UACAGAGGGUGCGAGCGUUGUCCGGAAUCACUGGGCGUAAAGGGCGCGUAGGUGGCCCGACAAGUCCGUGGUGAAAGCUCGACGCUCAACGUCGAGUCGGCCAUGGAUACUGUUGGGCUGGAGCACUGUAGAGGCUCAUGGAAUUCCGGGUGUAGCGGUGGAAUGCGUAGAGAUCCGGAAGAACACCGGUGGCGAAGGCGGUGAGCUGGGCAGUUGCUGACACUGAGGCGCGACAGCGUGGGGAGCAAACAGG
rnacentral:rRNA from 1 species